AAUUCAUACCUUUUUUUUUUUUUUAAAUCUAGGUGAAAUAUGUAAUGGGAGAGAACAACGGGUUGAAAUGAUUAAGGCCCGUGUAGGGAGGCAUGGCACCGACGGAACAUAUGCUGUGUGCAAGAAGAACAGUCCUUCUAACUCAAAGCAACAAUUAAAUACAAUAUUUCAUUCAUUGUCUCCAUCAUCCACUUUCCCAUUCACCUUUCACUUUCCAUUCUUUAUAUCCUCUAUUCAUUCCAUUUUUUUAUACCCUUUUUGCCACUUUCAUUUUGAUCCAUGUAUGUUACUAGAACCAAACUGA